GGAAGAGAAAGAGGUUAUAGAUGAAGAACCCGGUGAAUGAGGCAGAUGAAGGAUUGAAGCUAACGAAGGAAAGAGAAGCAGAUAGAGGAAGUAUUGCAAGUUUAAGAGAAAAAUUAGAGCCAAGCAGAACAUUAUUGACCGUCAGGGGGUAAACACAAGAGAGGAAAGGAGAGCAUCUGAGCCUAAGAGAAGAGAGAGUGGGAAUAAAGAGCUACUGGGGAUGGAAGGGGAGACCAGGACCAAAGGAAGUGAAGAAAAGCGAUAAAGAGGGAAAUGAGAACAUUUUGAGGAGAAAGAGAAAAUUUGAUAAGGUGUUGAUAGGUAGAAGAAAAUUGGAUAUUGGUUUCUUGGAGAAGAGCUAUUACCAAGGAGCUUGUAGGGGAAUGUUUGAGAAAUGGAUCUGGGAUGGGCUAGAAGGAUUUAGUUGAACACAUGCUUGGGUUUAUGAGAUGUAGGAGAAUGCAGAGUGAGGAAAAUGGAAAAUUACAGCAGGAUAAAGGAUAGGUAAUGAAGGUUAUAGAAGAAGAUGCAGGCUGAAGCGAGGAUCCUGAAGAAGAAUGAGGGUCUCCAAAGUGACAAAAGCAAGAGAAGAGAUAAGAAAGAAGUGAAGAAAAAAAAUCUCUGCCUUCCCAAGAUCAUCCAUUCCUUGUCUCCUCUGAUGAUUCUUUGAGCACUGAGAAAUUGUUGCCUCUCUCAUAAGAGGCCUGCACGGACACGAAGUCAAGACGGGGAGUUUUCAGUUGUGUGGGUCUCUCAGAUUGCACUGCACGGUAUAUAAAUUAUGACCCAAAUAAUCAGACUUGUUCUUUGGCUGGAUCACAUUUUCUCCCAGCAUAUCAGACGCAUUCCACUGAGGCAACAGAAAGGAAAAGUGAAGAUCAAGACACCGUGACAGAUGGCAGCCACCUUAUCCUCCCAUGUUUCCAGCCCAGCUGGACCCCACCUCUUCCAAGAAGUCUUUCAUCUUUCAGAUGCCGAAGACUCCUUUUUGGGUUCCGUAGUAUCUGUAGUCUGGACACACUAUUUGUCCUUGGUUGUGUAUUGACUUGUGGUAAUCUGUUUCCCAGUCAGUGGAGGGCCCCCAUACGUUGCUUGUUUCCCUCAAAGCACCCAUCCUACAGUCUGGAGAUCAUUACGGGCCCUAGAAAUGUGACCCUCUGGCCUGCCCCCGCUAGGGAAAGGCUCAUCUGAAUGGUGUCCCACCCUGGAGCCCUUCUGAGGAGUGGGAGAGAGCAGAGGUGUAGAGGGAGCCCGGGAACCCUCCCCCCACCCCAUUCAUGGCUUUCUGGAAGCUUGUCCCCGGCUCCUCCUGAAGUUUACAUAGCGGUUAAUCAUCUGGGUUCCCAACAAUGGGCUCUGCUCACUGUGGGAUGUGUAACGAUAGGAUGUGGUUGGCCUUUCACAUUGGGAGGCUUCUAGAGAUACAGAGAAAUCCUCUGUGCCUGGCUGUUUAAAGAGCCCUCAGGAGGGUUAAGGGCCCUUUUCCAUCCUCUGGGCUUCUCACAGGGAGCUGUGGAGGUCAGAUCAAUGUUUUCCUUUCUCCUCCCAGCACAAGAGCACCAACCCUUCUCACGCCUCCCGGAACAGCACGCCAAGGGUCCAGGCCUGGCAGCGCCCUCCUCCUCUACACCAUCCAUCUGGCAGGGGCGUGAUGGAAGAACACUGAACUGGGACUCGGGGACCAGGGUCCCCCGGGUGAUCAGGUCUCCCUGAGUGAUACUGGCGUUUCUGACUCAGCCAGGAAGAGAGCACGUCCGCAGCCUGGCCCGGCUCUUCUCAGCACCUCAGGCCGUGGACUCGGCGUGUCAGACCAAUCAUCCACCUGGCUCAGCCCUGAAGCCGCCGCUGGACAAACCCUCGACCUCCGGAAGGGUGAGUUGUUCCACAAAAGGUCUGUUACCAGGAGACAAGGAGGCUCUCGGUAACCCCGAGAGGCUUGCCUUGGAAGGAUGCGGGAGGGAGGCAGAGCCAUGGGGGAGGGAAGAGCAGGAGACGAGGUGCUGUUCCGGCAGAUGGGGAAGAACAGACGGCACAGCGCGUCCUCCAGGCCAGGCUGGAGGAAGGUCUUAGGUUAAACAUCUCAGGAGGUACGAAGGAUGGAGGUGGGUCAGGGCAGCCACCCCAGAGCCAAGGCACAGAGGAGGUGUGAAAUGUCCAGGAUAAAUAGAAUUGCAUGGGAGGGAGAAAAGCCAGCUCCAUCCUCGCUUAAAAAUAGUAAUGCCAUCGGCACCAAAAUAUAUUAAUAUCUGUACAUUUGUUAUCUUUAAAAAAAAGAAAAUAAAACCUCGUUGGCACCUUGUAGUUGAUUUCUUAAAAAUGUGGUGAUAUGUGGAAAGGCCCCCGAUGUGUGCGCGCACACACGCCUACAGCGGCGCACACGCGUGCAUCUCCCUGUGGGAGGGGCAGAGCCCCCGCAGCCCUGGGCAUUCGAAACACCGCCAGGCGGGCCGCCGCCAGCUCCUCCACCGCUGUUGUUGGCAGGGGUGCUCCCUGCCAGUGCUCCGGACUCUACCGUCCACGGGGACCAGCAGCCCCCGCCCUGUGCUCCAGAGACAGAAGGCGACAGGGUCACCCUCACGUACCUCCUCCUCACGUACCUCCUCUGGGAAGGAAGUCCUGUCUCUGUAGGUAUGCUGCUACAAGUCGAAGGCAGCCCCGGGCUCACCCCUGCCCCACACUCAUACACGUCUGCCCAGGCUCGGAGCGGCCUCUGCUCAUAGGACAAAAAGGCAAACGUGAGCAGAGGUCUGUGCAGGGCCUGAGUGAGCAUGCAUGCCUGGGGGCUCCAGUCCUGAGUGCCGGUGUCCCGGCCAGGGCCGUGGGAGGGGGACUGGCCAGGCAGCAGGGAGGUGACCCUCAGCCCUCCCGGGGCCUGCCGCUCAGAGGUGGUGGUUGCUCUGCAGCAGGGAGGUGACGGUGUUCUGCAGGGCCACGGCCACCUUCUUGGAGGUCUUGCGCAGCAGCGGGCUGUCGGGGUGGUGGUCCUUCAGGUGCAGGACGUGGCCCUCCUGGCUCUCAGACGUGCAGCCACACUCCUCGCACACGUACAGCUUGGCCCGCCGCUCCUUGUACGCGUACUUCUGCUGCACGCCAUGGAUCUUCUUGAGGUCGAAGGUGUCGUUGAAGCCCUUCCCACAGUAGGUGCAGAGGUGCCUCUUGACGUCAUUGUGACACUUCAUGUGGCGAUUCAGCAUGCGCUGGUAAGAGAGGAAGGACCAGCAUUCCGCUGCCAGUUUUCUGCAGUCUUUUGGCACACAGGACAGCGCUACGAGAACCCUUCCGCUCACUGCUGGCAGGUGCUUCCUGUUCCCAGAGCUUUCCAGAAUGCAGGUGCAGCCAGGGGUAGCCCUGCUGUUUGCACUCUCCUUGAAAGCGGGGGCAUUUCUACUGCCUCGUGCACUUCUUAUUGCUUCUGCGGCUGAGCGCAGCAGGACUGCUCACAGGCCUGCCCUAGAUGCACGGCCUCGAGUGCCGAUGGGGCUGGAGGCGGCACUUAGGCAAGGUGGACACUGCUGGGCACACACCUUGGGGACAGUUAACCACCGAGCGGACUCCAGGCGUCACUCCCGAUGCAGCUCGGAUGGGGCUCAGGAGAAGGUGCCGAGCUGCCUCACAUCUCCCCACUUUUCCUAAGACUUCUGUGCAAAGACGUGGCUCCCCGUAAGGCCAGAAAUGACACUAAACAACGACCAGAACGGACUCCAAAGGGUUCAGUGUUUUCUGAAUCCCACUGCUUCUUCCCAAUGCAGGACAUUCUCACUUCAGACCCCCUCUUCUCCUUUUCCGCCCCCCAUCUGCACCCCAGCUGGGUUUACUUCUCUGCAGAAACCCGAACCCAGACCCAAGGCCAGCCUCUGCCUGGGCCUCAUUUGUGCCAAUCCUGUGGACCGGACACAGGUCUACACACAUGCCCCUAGUCCUCGGAGACAGCGUGAGGUCAGUACCUUCAUCUUGGUGCGCAGGAAGCUGUGGUCUCUGCUCUGGGGGUCUGCCAAGCGGCCCAUGUCUUCAGAGGGCAGCUGGGCCACCACGCAGGGCCCAGGGGCCACACUGUAGCCAGAGUCCCGAAGGCUCAUGUCCAAAGCCAGGGGGCAAGAAGGGGGUUCAGCCACUGAUGGCUCUGGCUCCCGGUAGGGCUGUGGUGGGCAGAAGCCCAGGCUGACUGCAGAGAGAAGAACAGCCAGGUGAGAGGCUUGGUGGAGAAAAGAGGAUUCAGUCAGAUUUCAGCAAGGUUCCCUGGCAAUGAGCUGGCUGGAACCUGGGGCAUCCGUCCUGCCCCUUGCAGGCAUGUGGCCGAGCAGGGCUACCCCCAGCCCACCCCAUGCUGCACCUCCCUCUCUCCUCAUUAAGGUAAUUACAGGUGACGCCAGCCAAGUGCCACGGCCCACAGGCCUGCCCGCUGAGUAAUUUGUGUCUUAGCGGAACUGGGAGGACGGAACCUGCCCUGCCAAUUAUCCCUCUGGAGUUGUCUACCUGCCCCACCUGGGCCAGUCUCUCUGGAUUCCAGGCCUCGUCUACACUCCUGUAGGGACAAAGGGCACCACAGGAGGCCCUGGGCCCAGGGACUCAUCCCUGCCCCAGAAGGGUCCCUGGUGGUCUGGGCCACUGGGGACCUCUCUUCCAGGCAGAGUUAGCUGCUGGCCUCAGGGCAUGGGGUGGUCCUGGCCCCUUCCUCCUCCGGGCUGGCCUGUUCCUGCUGUUGCAGCCCAUCAGGGCUCCAGGCUCCCCACUCCCGCUGGCCCAGCUUGGCAGGCAAACAGGCCAGGUGGGGUGGGGCAGGGAGGAGGUCAGGGAGCAGCAGGUGGAUGCGGUGUAACAGUCUCCUGGGCGGCCUGCCUGCGGUUACGCAAGCCUCCCCCACGGCAGGGACCGCUCGCUGUGGCCCAGGGAGGGCUGGGCGCCUGUCCCCUGUGCGGCACCGAUACCUGGCAGCCCUUUGCUGCGGCCACUCCCCACAACAGACACCUCACACCGAACGGGGCCGGGGAGGCUUGGCCCUGGGCCUGAUUGGAGAGGAGGAGGAAGAGUUCUGAGCGACACAGAGGAGACAAGUCUCAAGGCCGACAGAGCUGGGGCAAGCAAUCGAAUGUUUCAAUUUCGUCAGGAUUUUUCUUCCAAAAACGCUAAGCUCUGUACUUAAAACCCAUCACUAGGAACAUUCUCCAAGCCUCAGAAGGAAAAAUCAAGAGGGGCCUAGGAGAGAAAGGAUGAGUGAGCUUUAGGGAGAGGAACUCAGGAGGUCGAGUUAGGGUCUCAAACCUGUGCACAAGGCCCUCUGCACCCGCCGCCCCAGAGCUGGUGAGACGGACUGGACAGGACCCCGGGAGGGGCGGCCCCAGGGCAUGAAGGCUGCUGCCUUCACCUCCUCCCCCACGACAUGAGGUCCAAGCAGAGGACCGGGAUGGGGGCCGGCAGAGGAAUGGACUAAUGGAGGAGGGUGAAUAUGAUAGUAAUGAAGUUUCGGGAGAGGCCCCGGCUCUCGCCUCUUCAAAACACAACAAAGGUCUGAUGGGAAGAAUGCGCCUGCCCGCCGCCCAGAACUCGUUCUACUGGCACUGGCGUCCGUCUGUCCAGGGACUUUAAUGAGCCAUCUCAUUCCAGGAGUUGAUUCACCAGCGCCUGGCCCUGGCCUCUGAGCUGGCAUGGACAUCAGGCCCAGGCUCUCGGGGUCCCUCUCGCCUUCCCGUAGUGACGGCUGUCUAUGCUCAUGGGAUGGGGCUUG